GGCGGCCAUAUGCCGGUUGGCGUGCACCGGCUGCAGGCCAGUGCGAUAGCCGGACGCCAGCUCGGGUGGUGCGGGCAUCACCUGGUCGGCAC
rnacentral:tRNA from 1 species